rnacentral:lncRNA from 1 species
ACUCGUGUCUGAGGGCGCCACUAGCCGAAGGAGGCAGGGAGGCUCGUAAAGUGAGGCUGUGCUACCGGGAGGCGCACUCCCGGCACGCCUAUCCAGGUGGUGCGGGAGGAGGGGGAGGGACAUGGCUGGCUGGCUGUCCCGAGUUACAAGGAAAACUUUAAAACGAGACCCAGGAAGCGGAUAUGACGAAGUGUCAUCACGUUUGGUGUUGGAUGUCGGGAUUCUGGGUGUUAGAUUUGAACCUGUCAUCUUCUGUUUUCUGAGUAAGGCACAAACCACAAAAUGGGAAAAAUACAGGAAAACUUUUGGGACCCUCUAAGGCUCAUAAAUUCAAAUACCGGUGUGGUUCUGCCACACACCCCUUAAGUGUCUCAAAAAACUGACGAGAGGGCGCUACUGGCUCUACCCCUUUUGCUGCGCUUUAAGCUUGGGGCCCAACAAAGGCUCUUACCCGACUUCUGCUCUGCACCGCUGACCUCCAGGGCAUUCCCCGGGGCCAGCCGGCGCCUGCAGAGGCCGGCCUCCCACCCAGGAUACUACCUGCUGUGUUCCACUUCUGAGAACCGAAACGCUGUUCUUUUCCUUUGUUUUCAUUGAAACCUUUCUUUCAACCGAUGCUGAUUGAGCACCUACUGUUUCCCUGCACUGUGCCACCUAUAGAUGGAGGCAAAUGGCCAACUCCAGAAUGUGGGCUGUCAAUUAAUUGGCGAGGUCAGUGGGAGGAAGUGGACCGGUUAGUAAACGAACUUAAAAGACAUGAUUGAAUUCAAUUCGGAUCAUGGUAGAACAGAUCAACUGUACAAAAGACAUUUGUGAAGUGAUGAGGAAUUUCACUGCUACUUUUGUUAAGGAGUCAUAAUGGCCUGGUGGCUAUGUAAAAAUGUCCUUGACAUCAAAGAUGCAAACAGAAAUGUUUACAAUAAGUUGCUACAGUGUCUGGAAUUUGCUUUAAAAAUACUCCAGUAGAAAAAUAAUAAUGAGUAUAGGUGAAACACAAGUGGAAAAUAUGGAAAAUGGUUAGAACUGGGUGCUGGACAUGAUGAGGGUUGUAACUUUUCUUUCUUUUUAAUAAUGUUCAAAUUUUUCUGGGAUAACCCUUAAAAUGUGUUUUUCAUCGGCUGUAACCAAGUUGUCUAAUUGCGCUCAUCCUGAAUCUGCUCACCUGUAAAACUGUUUUGUUUAGUUUUUUUUUGUGGUGGGGGGGGUCGCUAUGGGAAAAUAUAGGAAAACUUUUGGGACCCUCUAAGGCUCAUAAAUUCAAAUACCGCUGUGGUUCAUAAAAUGCGACUUAUGCAGUCCAGGGGGAGAAAUAAAAGAAUAUCCACGCGCUUCUGCCCCUUUCAAUGCUUUAUUGACGC